rnacentral:rRNA from 1 species
GAUGAACGCUGGCGGCGUGCCUAAUACAUGCAAGUCGAGCGAACGGACGAGAAGCUUGCUUCUCUGAUGUUAGCGGCGGACGGGUGAGUAACACGUGGAUAACCUACCUAUAAGACUGGGAUAACUUCGGGAAACCGGAGCUAAUACCGGAUGAUAUUUUGAACCGCAUGGUUCAAAAGUGAAAGACGGUCUUGCUGUCACUUAUAGAUGGAUCCGCGCUGCAUUAGCUAGUUGGUAAGGUAACGGCUUACCAAGGCAACGAUGCAUAGCCGACCUGAGAGGGUGAUCGGCCACACUGGAACUGAGACACGGUCCAGACUCCUACGGGAGGCAGCAGUAGGGAAUCUGCCGCAAUAGGCGAAAGCCUGACGGAGCAACGCCGCGUGAGUGAUGAAGGUCUUCGGAUCGUAAAACUCUGUUAUUAGGGAAGAACAUAUGUGUAAGUAACUGUGCACAUCUUGACGGUACCUAAUCAGAAAGCCACGGCUAACUACGUG